rnacentral:tRNA from 1 species
GGCUCAAUGGUCUAGUGGUAUGAUUCCUGCUUCGGGUCGCACCCUUCCAUCUUACGUGGGAAUGCAGGAGGCCCCGGGUUCGAAUCCCGGUUGAGCCC